AUACGGAGGGUGCAAGCGUUGUUCGGAAUCACUGGGCGUAAAGGGCGCGCAGGCGGUUUGGUAAGUCAGAUGUGAAAGCCCACGGCUCAACCGUGGAAGUGCAUUUGAAACUGCCAGACUUGAGUACCAGAGGGGAAAGUGGAAUUCCCGGUGUAGAGGUGAAAUUCGUAGAUAUCGGGAGGAAUACCGGUGGCGAAGGCGACUUUCUGGCUGGAUACUGACGCUGAGGCGCGAAAGCGUGGGGAGCAAACAGGAUUAGAAACCUCAGUAGUCC
rnacentral:rRNA from 1 species